rnacentral:snRNA from 1 species
GUGCUCGCUGGGCAGCACAGACACUAACACAGGAACCAUACAGAGAAGAUCAGCAUGGCUCUGUGCGAGGAUGACA